ACUUCGGUACGAGUACAGCGGCGGACGGGUGAGUAACGCGUAGGAAUCUACCUAGUAGUGGGGGACAACUCGUGGAAACGCGAGCUAAUACCGCAUACGCCCUACGGGGGAAAGCGGGGGAUCUUCGGACCUCGUGCUAUUAGAUGAGCCUGCGUAAGAUUAGCUAGUUGGUGGGGUAAAGGCCUACCAAGGCGACGAUCUUUAGCUGGUCUGAGAGGAUGAUCAGCCACACCGGGACUGAGACACGGCCCGGACUCCUACGGGAGGCAGCAGUCGGGAAUAUUGCGCAAUGGGCGAAAGCCUGACGCAGCCAUGCCGCGUGUGUGAAGAAGGCCCUAGGGUUGUAAAGCACUUUCAAUUGGGAGGAAAAGCUAAUGGUUAAUAGCCAUUAGCCCUGACGUUACCUUUAGAAGAAGCACCGGCUAACUCCGUGCCAGCAGCCGCGGUAAUACGGAGGGUGCAAGCGUUAAUCGGAAUUACUGGGCGUAAAGCGCGCGUAGGCGGCUCUUUAAGUCGGAUGUGAAAGCCCCGGGCUCAACCUGGGAACUGCAUCCGAUACUGGGGAGCUAGAGUGUAGGAGAGGGAGGUAGAAUUCCAUGUGUAGCAGUGAAAUGCGUAGAUAUAUGGAGGAAUACCAGUGGCGAAGGCGGCCUCCUGGCUUAACACUGGCGCUGAGGUGCGAAAGCGUGGGGAGCAAACGGGAUUAGAUACCCCGGUAGUCCACGCCGUAAACGAUGUCUACUAGCUGUAGGGGUACUUGAGACCUUUGUAGCGCAGCUAACGCACUAAGUAGACCGCCUGGGGAGUACGGCCGCAAGGUUAAAACUCAAAUGAAUUGACGGGGGCCCGCACAAGCAGUGGAGCAUGUGGUUUAAUUCGAUGCAACGCGAAGAACCUUACCAGGCCUUGACAUCCUCGGAACUUUCUAGAAAUAGAUUGGUGCCUUCGGGAACCGAGUGACAGGUGCUGCAUGGCUGUCGUCAGCUCGUGUCGUGAGAUGUUGGGUUAAGUCCCGUAACGAGCACAACCCUUGUCCUUAGUUGCCAGCACAUAAUGGUGGGAACUCUAAG
rnacentral:rRNA from 1 species